rnacentral:rRNA from 1 species
ACGAACGCUGGCGGCGCGCCUAACACAUGCAAGUCGAACGGAGCUUAGAGAGCUUGCUUUUUAAGCUUAGUGGCGAACGGGUGAGUAACGCGUGAGUAACCUGCCCUAGAGUGGGGGACAACAGUUGGAAACGACUGCUAAUACCGCAUAAGCCCACGGUGCCGCAUGGUACUGAGGGAAAAGGAUUUAUUCGCUUUAGGAUGGACUCGCGUCCAAUUAGCUAGUUGGUGAGGUAACGGCCCACCAAGGCGACGAUUGGUAGCCGGACUGAGAGGUUGAACGGCCACAUUGGGACUGAGACACGGCCCAGACUCCUACGGGAGGCAGCAGUGGGGGAUAUUGCACAAUGGGGGAAACCCUGAUGCAGCGACGCCGCGUGGAGGAAGAAGGUUUUCGGAUUGUAAACUCCUGUCGUUAGGGACGAUAAUGACGGUACCUAACAAGAAAGCACCGGCUAACUACGUGCCAGCAGCCGCGGUAAAACGUAGGGUGCAAGCGUUGUCCGGAAUUACUGGGUGUAAAGGGAGCGCAGGCGGGAAGACAAGUUGGAAGUGAAAACCAUGGGCUCAACCCAUGAAUUGCUUUCAAAACUGUUUUUCUUGAGUAGUGCAGAGGUAGAUGGAAUUCCCGGUGUAGCGGUGGAAUGCGUAGAUAUCGGGAGGAACACCAGUGGCGAAGGCGGUCUACUGGGCACCAACUGACGCUGAGGCUCGAAAGCAUGGGUAGCAAACAGGAUUAGAUACCCUGGUAGUCCAUGCCGUAAACGAUGAUUACUAGGUGUUGGGGGAUUGACCCCCUCAGUGCCGCAGUUAACACAAUAAGUAAUCCACCUGGGGAGUACGACCGCAAGGUUGAAACUCAAAGGAAUUGACGGGGGCCCGCACAAGCAGUGGAGUAUGUGGUUUAAUUCGAAGCAACGCGAAGAACCUUACCAGGUCUUGACAUCCGAUGCAUAACACAGAGAUGUGUGAAAUCCUUCGGGACAUCGAGACAGGUGGUGCAUGGUUGUCGUCAGCUCGUGUCGUGAGAUGUUGGGUUAAGUCCCGCAACGAGCGCAACCCUUGAUCUUAGUUGCCAGCAUUCAGUUGGGCACUCUAAGGUGACUGCCGGUGACAAACCGGAGGAAGGUGGGGAUGACGUCAAAUCAUCAUGCCCCUUAUGACCUGGGCUACACACGUACUACAAUGGCGUUAAACAAAGAGAAGCAAGACCGCGAGGUGGAGCAAAACUCAAAAACAACGUCUCAGUUCAGAUUGCAGGCUGCAACUCGCCUGCAUGAAGUCGGAAUUGCUAGUAAUCGCGGAUCAGCAUGCCGCGGUGAAUACGUUCCCGGGCCUUGUACACACCGCCCGUCACACCACGAGAGUUUGUAACACCCGAAGUCGGUGAGGUAACCUUUUAGGAGCCAGCCGCCUAAGGUGGGAUAGAUGAUUGGGGUG